rnacentral:rRNA from 1 species
GGGGGGGGGGGGGGGGGGGGCUGGGAGAGGCGGGUCGGAGGGGGGCACAGUAAGAGCUGGCUCUUACGGGUGGCGAGUGGCGGACGGGUGAGGAAUACAUCGGAAUCUACUUUUUCGUGGGGGAUAACGUAGGGAAACUUACGCUAAUACCGCAUACGACCUACGGGUGAAAGCAGGGGAUCUUCGGACCUUGCGCGAUUGAAUGAGCCGAUGUCGGAUUAGCUAGUUGGCGGGGUAAAGGCCCACCAAGGCGACGAUCCGUAGCUGGUCUGAGAGGAUGAUCAGCCACACUGGAACUGAGACACGGUCCAGACUCCUACGGGAGGCAGCAGUGGGGAAUAUUGGACAAUGGGCGCAAGCCUGAUCCAGCCAUACCGCGUGGGUGAAGAAGGCCUUCGGGUUGUAAAGCCCUUUUGUUGGGAAAGAAAAGCAGCAGGUUAAUACCCCGCUGUUCUGACGGUACCCAAAGAAUAAGCACCGGCUAACUUCGUG